GGGUUCCUACGGGGGGCAGCAGUGGGGAAUAUUGCACAAUGGGGGAAACCCUGAUGCAGCGACGCCGCGUGAAGGAAGAAGUAUUUCGGUAUGUAAACUUCUAUCAGCAGGGAAGAAAAUGACGGUACCUGACUAAGAAGCCCCGGCUAACUACGUGCCAGCAGCCGCGGUAAUACGGAGGAUGCGAGCGUUAUCCGGAUUUAUUGGGUUUAAAGGGUGCGCAGGCGGAUUUUUAAGUCAGCGGUCAAAUCGUGGGGCUCAACCCCAUCCAGCCGUUGAAACUG
rnacentral:rRNA from 1 species